rnacentral:misc_RNA from 1 species
GAUGAAGAACGUAGCGAAAUGCGAUAAGUAAUGUGAAUUGCAGAAUUCAGUGAAUCAUCGAAUCUUUGAACGCAUCUUGCGCUCCUUGGUAUUCCUUGGAGCAUGCCUGUUUGAGUAUCAUGAGCAAAUCUCAAAGUCAAUUCCUUUUGUUGAUUCAAUUGGUUUUGCUUUGGACUUGGAGGCCUUGCAGAUUUCACAGUCUGCUCCUCUUAAAUGCAUUAGCUGGAUCUCAGUAAUUAUGCUUGGUUCCACUCGGCGUGAUAAGUAUCACUCGCUGAGGACACUGUUAAAAAGGUGGCCAGGAAAAUACUGAUUGAACCGCUUCUAACGGUCUAUUAAGUUAGACAAUUACCCUUAAGUUUGAUCUCAAAUCAGGUAGGACUACCCGCUGAACUUAAGCAUAUCAAUAAGCGGAGG